rfam:Zootermopsis nevadensis contig20534, whole genome shotgun sequence.
AACACGGUGGUCUAGCGGUUAGAACGCUGGCCUUGUAAUCCUGGGGUCUCGGGUUCGAUUCCCGGCGGUGCCC